rnacentral:sRNA from 1 species
AUUUCCUCUCUGCCAUUCUUCCUUCUAGGAGCUGUACCAGCCCAGUGUGGAGAGCUUGCGCCAGCAAGAAGAACGCAAGCGGCUCUACCAGAGGCAGCAGGAGCGGGGGGGAAUCAUUGACCUUGAGGCUGAGCGAAACCGAUACUUCAUCAGCCUUCAGCAGCCUCCUGCCCCUGCGGAACCUGAGUCAGCUGUAGAUGUCUCCAAAGGAUCCCAACCACCCAGCACCCUUGCAGCAGAACUAUCCACCUCACCAGCCGUCCAAUCCACUUUGCCACCUCCUCUGCCUGUGGCGACCCAGUACAUAUGUGAGAAGAUUCCAGGGGCCAGGUCAAAUCAGCAAAGGUUGGGCGAAACCCAGAAAGCUAUGCUAGAUCCCCCCAAGCCCAGUCGAGGUCCCUGGCGACAGCCCGAACGGAGGCACCCGAAGGGAGGGGAGUGCCACGCCCCUAAAGGUACCCGUGACACCCAGGAACUGCCACCUCCUGAGAGGCCCCUCAAGGAGCCCAUGGACCUAAAGCCAGAACCCCAU